rnacentral:rRNA from 1 species
GAUGAACGCUGGCGGCGUGCCUAAUACAUGCAAGUCGAGCGAACGGACGAGAAGCUUGCUUCUCUGAUGUUAGCGGCGGACGGGUGAGUAACACGUGGAUAACCUACCUAUAAGACUGGGAUAACUUCGGGAAACCGGAGCUAAUACCGGAUAAUAUUUUGAACCGCAUGGUUCAAAAGUGAAAGACGGUCUUGCUGUCACUUAUAGAUGGAUCCGCGCUGCAUUAGCUAGUUGGUAAGGUAACGGCUUACCAAGGCAACGAUGCAUAGCCGACCUGAGAGGGGGAUCGGCACAACUGGAACUGAGACACGGCCCAGACCCCAACGGGGGGCAGAAGGAGGGAACUUGCCGCAAGGGGCGAAAGCCUUACGGAGCAACGCCGGGUGGGGGAUGAAGGUCUUGGGAUCGUAAAACUUUUUUAUUAGGGAAAAAAAAAUGGGUAAGUAACUGUGCACAUCUUGCCGGUACCAAAUAAAAAAGCCACGGCUAACUACGU